UAUUUCCCGAUUUUGAAUGAGUUAAUGAUUUAUUUUAGUUGCUGUUGCAUAAGCAUUAAUAAUAUUUUGUUGGCAAUGAGAUGUUUCCGUUUUCAAUGGUAUCUGGUUUUUCAGGAAAUGAAUUUAAUUCAUGUAUUUGGUUUAAAUGUUUUUUGUUUUAAUUUUUUUUUACUUGAUACAAAUGUCUUGGGGGAUAAGCUUCGGGAUUUAGUUCUUAUAAUUUCUUUUAUUUGGUUUUGGAUUAUCAUUUUUGUGGGUUUUACGGUAAUUAUCAUUUUAAGUGUGUUCAGACUUUAUUGGGUUUUCUUUUUUAUUUUUCUUUGUUUUUAAGUUUUUUACUGGAAUUUUUUUUGUAACUUGUUAUUUGUAGUAAUUAUGAUUGGAUUAGUAUAUAUUUGGUUUUUAUGUUUUGUUUAAAAAUUUUUGGUAAUUUCUUUUGAGGAAUUAGGCAAAUUUUGUUGUGUCCGCCUGUUUAACAAAAACUACUCCUCUUGUUUAUUUUUUGAGGUAGGGCCUGCCCGCUGAUAAUAUUUUUUGAAGGGCCGCGGUACUUUGACCGUGCAAAGGUAGCAUAAUCAUUAGUCUUUUAAUUGUGGGCUGGUAUGAAUGGUUUGACGAGAUACAAUCUGUCUUUUUUGGAUAUUUAUUGAAUUUGGGUUUUAAGUAAGAAUACUUAAAUUUUUUUGUGGGACGAGAAGACCCUAUAGAGUUUUACAUGUGAAGUAUUAAUUUCUUGUUUGUUUUGUUUUUGUUAAUGUUUUACUUGUUUUGUUGGGGCGAUGGGAGGAUUUAUUCAACUCCUCUUUUUUUUGUUUUAUUGAUUUAUAUUUUUUUGAU
rnacentral:rRNA from 1 species